rnacentral:lncRNA from 1 species
GGGAUAUGGGGGGGCUUUUGGGGCCAGACAUUUUGGGUUGAAUCUGCCCCAUUUUGGGGGCUGAUUUUGGGUUGAAAGCGGGGGUUUUUGGGUCAGACGCUUUGGGUUGAAUGUGCUCCGUUUCGGGGCUGAUUUUGGGUCGAAACUGGGGCUUUUUGGGUGGGGCAUUUUGGGUUGAAAGCGUGGGUUUUUGGGUCAGACAUGUUGGGUUGAGAACGGGGCUUUUUGGGUUGCACAUUUUGGGUUGAAAACGAGGCUUUUUGGGUCAGGCAUUUUGGGUUGAAAACGGGGGUUUUUGGGUCAGAC